GACGAACGCUGGCGGCGUGCUUAACACAUGCAAGUCGAGCGAUGAAGCUCCUUCGGGAGUGGAUUAGCGGCGGACGGGUGAGUAACACGUGGGUAACCUGCCUCAUAGAGGGAAAUAGCCUUCCGAAAGGAAGAUUAAUACCGCAUAAGAUUGUAGUUCCGCAUGGGACAGCAAUUAAAGGGGUAAUCCGCUAUGAGAUGGACCCGCGUCGCAUUAGCUAGUUGGUGAGGCAACGGCUCACCAAGGCGACGAUGCUAAGCCGACCUGAGAGGGUGAUCGGCCACAUUGGGACUGAGACACGUCCCAGACUCCUACGGGAGGCAGCAGUGGGGAAUAUUGCACAAUGGGGGAAACCCUGAUGCAGCAACGCCGCGUGAGUGAUGACGGUCUUCGGAUUGUAAAACUCUGUCUUUGGGGACGAUAAUGACGGUACCCAAGGAGGAAGCCACGGCUAACUACGUGCCAGCAGCCGCGGUAACAC
rnacentral:rRNA from 1 species